rnacentral:lncRNA from 1 species
AUUUCUGUUAGUGAAUCUUUAAUAUGGGACUGUAUGAGAUGACUUUUUGCUUUUCUUUCUGUGCAGGUCAACUUUGUAGUGUGCCAGCUGUUUGCCUUGCUUGCAGCUAUCUGGUUUCGAACAUACCUUCAUUCAAGCAAAACCAGCCCAUUUAUAAGACAUGUUGUUGCAACCCUCUUGGGCCUUUAUCUUGCACUUUUUUGUUUUGGAUGGUAUGCCUUACAUUUUGUUAUACAAAGUGGAAUUUCCUACUAUAUCAUGAUCAUAAUAGGAAUUGAAAAUAUGCACAAGUACUGCUUUGUUUUUGCUUUGGGAUACCUCACUGUGUGCCAAAUUACUAGAGUCUACAUCUUUG